AGCAUGGCUUAAUGUUAAAGCAUCGCCCUUACGCUGCCAGGAUACUCGUAUAAAUCUAGUGUCUCUGAUUCCCAG
rnacentral:tRNA from 1 species